rnacentral:rRNA from 1 species
AUUGAACGCUGGCGGCAGGCCUAACACAUGCAAGUCGAACGAGUGGCGGACGGGUGAGUAAUGCUUGGGAAUCUGCCUGAUGGAGGGGGAUAACUACUGGAAACGGUAGCUAAUACCGCAUACCAUCAGAUGUGCCCAGGUGGGAUUAGGUUGUUGGUGGGGUAAAGGCUCACCAAGGCGACGAUCCCUAGCUGGUCUGAGAGGAUGACCAGCCACACUGGGACUGAGACACGGCCCAGACUCCUACGGGAGGCAGCAGUGGGGAAUAUUGCGCAAUGGGGGCAACCCUGAUGCAGCCAUGCCGCGUGUAUGAAGAAGGCCUUCGGGUUGUAAAGUUCUUUCAGUAGGGAGGCGUUACCCACAGAAGAAGCACCGGCUAACUCCGUGCCAGCCGCCGCGGUAAUAC